AUCGAGUACUGGAGGACCCUGAGUCGAUCACAGGAUCUAUAUCUCCUCCCGCCCUGCUAGCUACUGGAAACUCAUGACUCAGUGAGGAGGAUGGCCCAACACAGCCUCCCUAAACAUCUGAGUUCCAUUUCCUUAGCUCGACUGUGAGGUGAAAGGGAACAAGACACAGGACAGGAGGAUGUGAAACCCUCAAGAGGAUCCAGCGCUCUCUUCUGGACUCUGUUGGCAAUGAGAGCACAAAGUGCACAGAUGUACACGCAGGAAAAACACCCCCCAUACAUAAACAGAAACCUGAAUGAGCAAGAACGAUAUGGCCUGUUUAGAUUGCUCUGUAGUGUUCCUUGUUCCCACGGACAGAACAGAAGGGGGCUCCCUGUAGCCUGGGAUCAGCCGCUCCGGAGCCAGGCACCUGUGAGGAUGCUGGGCCGGGGCUGCUCCUCUGUCGCGAAGCGUGGCCUGGGACCUCCCACCCUCCAGAGCUGGUUGCAACCUCGCGAUCUGUGAGAAGCUUGGAGGCACCUGGAGGAAGAGAGCUUGCAGCAUGGACCACGCAAGGCCCCGCGCUCGGCCGCUCCCCGCCCGCAUCUACUUACAAACGAGGACAGGGACGGCAGGAGGAUGCGCAGCAAGUUGCACCCGAACACGAAGCUCAACACCAGCAGCCACGCCCAGCGAUCCGUCUCGGACGCGCUCAUG
rnacentral:lncRNA from 1 species